rnacentral:lncRNA from 1 species
AAAUAUAAAACUUACCAUCCAAUAUUUGUUAUAAACCUCUAUCAACUUCAACGCUCUCAAUGUAGCUCUGGAACUAUGUUUUAGAUCAAUUGGAGUGUCUCUUGGUUUGCAGCCUUAAUACAGGAGAUCUAAGACAUACUUUCUCAAUGGUAGAAAUAUCCAUUUACUAGACCUUGCAAUUAUAAUGCCUAGAAAGUAUCUUCUUUCCUCAAACCCUUAAUUCUUGAAUUCUUUUGUAAGAAUUCUCUCAAGUCUCUCAAUCUCAUCAGUAUCAGCAUCAGCGAUAGUAACAAUGAUGUCAUCCACAUAGACAAUUAAGGUAAGGAUUAUUUUUUCUAUCUUUAAAUUGUUUAAGGAACAAAGUAUGAUGAUUUUGGCUUUUAGUAUAAUCAAAUCGAUGAAUUCCUUUUAGCUUCUUGAACUAUGCUCAGGUGAUUGUUUUUGUCCGUAUACGGACUUCUUCAAUUUGCACAUUUUGCUUUCAAAACAUAUCUUUAAAAAGAAGUGCACAAAUGAGAAAUAGGGGAGAAUGAAAAGGGCGCCCUACCUACAAUGAAACUAAAGCCUAUGAUGCUCGGACUCCGGUCUGGGUAUCGGGUACCAGUACGUAUAUAAGUGUUAGAUCUUUUAUUUUUUAAAAUCUAGGAUAAGGGGACAUGAUGAAAAAGAGUCUAAAUUUCGGACACGGGUACUGGUACCUCUUUCAAGCUUCAAUUUUUUUACUAAUUGAAGAUGUUAUUUUGAGUAGACCAAAAUCAACUGUUCAUAAAGAAGGAAAUGAGUAUUGAAUAAGGGAUUAAAACGAAUAAAAUAUAAUUUUCCGAUUUAUUUUUCAAUUAUGAGAAGUUAAUUAUUCAAAUGUUAAGUAAAAUAGAAAAGAAGAGACUUGAUUGCAAUUUGGACUUAGUGGAGCACUAAGUAGCAUUAUAUGGAACCAAUUUUCAUUUUAUAUGGAAUCAAUUUUUAUUUUAUUCAAAGAAAACUCUAAACCACAGAUAUAGAGAGUGAAAGAAAGAAAAAGAAGAAAAGGGAAAGAAAAAAGGAAGAAGAAGAAAGGAAAGCCUAGAGUCGUAACCUUUCUCCAUCCUCUCGGAGGCCGCACUAGGUUUAUAGAGAGUGAAAACGGAUAGAAAAGGAAAAGAAAAAAAGAAGCAAAAAAGGCGAAGUGUCCUGUUGAAACUUAGAUGAUCAGCACUUAUCCCAUAUCCGUACCCAUGUCAUGUUGUGUCCGACACGGGUACUCCGACCAUUUCGAAGAAUCCGAAGAUCAAAGACUAAAGCCCCAACGAGCAAUUGCAUUUUCUAACUGAAAUGAAAUACUAUUACUAGAAUGGAAUUGUACGUCUAAAAUAGUCCUAAACAACUUUCUUAGGAGCAAUUGGUAUUCAAGAUCAUAAAAAUCAAGUUUUAUGGCAAGAUUAGAAAUUGCUAUGUUUUAAAAGAUUUUUGCUCGGUUGAGGUGAUGGGUGAUCUUGUGAAGAUUGUGUCUUAUUCUUCUUGAGUAAUCCUUUAAGUUAUAGCCUAUAGCAUGUAUGCUUUCAAGUGGAAUGCUAGUGGUGUGGAAGCAAUAAUAAAAUGAUUGUAAUAAGAAUUAUGUCUUAAGAAGAAUAUUGAAAUAACUUACUUUAUUGUUGAUUGAAUAAUGAUUGGUGUUAUGAAAAAAGUUUACAAUACCUCUAUAUUUGUAGGCAAGAUAAUUCCUCGUCCUAUUAAUGUAAGGAAACUAAAAUAAGAAAACUAAUAAAAAUCCUAAUCUAAAAGAAAUUGAAAAACCUAUUCUAAUUAAUAAAAUAAGAAAUCCUAUUCUAAACAAAAUAUUAGAAUAAAAGGAUAAAACCUAUUACAGCUAAAUAUCUUAUUAUAAUUAUCUAACUUUUACUCUAAUUACAAUAGGAUUGUCCUACAUCAUUCUCUCACACUUGAAAGAAACUCUUUCCUCGAGUUUGGUUGAAGAGAAGAAAAUUAAUAAAUCGGGAGGAGAAUACUCAAAAACAAAAAUUUCUGUCAAUACUCUGAUAUUUAAAACAUUUCAAUUUCUUGAUGUGCUUGAUAAAUGUUAUAUUCUUCAUCUGUUAGGGCUUGCAUUGUGUAUGUGCCCUCAUGCUCAAGUAAUCUGGCAAACUGACAAUGUAAAUAGAAGCUAUCACAGAUUCAACACUCUUAUCAAUCCCAGCAACAUCUUCUGACAUAGAUGUAGUGAUUUUGAAACAUGAAUUUUUUUCCUUUUGGUAGUGAUCUGAUGGCUGGUAAUAGUGAGGUGAAUAAAAUUCCCAUUCAGUUAGUUUAUCUACAGGAACUGAAACUGUAGUUGGUACAUUUUGAACAGUCACCUAGCAUGUCUCCAAUAGCUAAGAAAACACCAAAUAUUUCCUGCUUAGGCAUUCCCAGUGAAGAAAAUUAACUUAAGGAGCUCCAUUAAGCCUCUAUAGUAACUAAUAUGCCUGCUGAACCAUGUGAUUGCUUCUACAACUUUUCCACCAUGCAGUAAUAAUGUUGACGUCUUAAAAUGCAACCAUUUUGUGAUGCUCUUAAUCUCAUUUAAACUCUGGAUUGGAAGCCAUCUUGUUGAGAUUCCAACCACCUCUUGUAGUGCAUGAUAGGCCUCCUCGUACAUCUUCUGAGCUUUAAGCCAACCUCUGUGAAACUCUGCAUAUACAGCAACUUUAAAAUAGUAGUGAAUAUGUAACUCUAUUAAGCCGAAGUGUUUUUUUUUUUUUUUUUUUCAAGACGUGAUUUAACUCUUCACCCUUUAUCUUUAUAAUAUGUAUUUGCAAGUUUAGUGCAUGCAAUCCCUAGCGUGUUGAGAGAUUGUUUAAGCUCUAACGGAUGAUUUGGUACAAAGAUGAUAAGAUUUUUCAAAUCUGCUUCUGCACGCUUCUUUAAGGAAAUCAUGCUAUCUUUACUUAUGUCAUCUUUGAUUUCUUCGUGACUGAAAAGUUUAAUUCCCUCAUCUCUUGUUGGAAACUUCUGAACUUCAAAUAGUUCAUCAUCGAAGUGCAGCUUAUUUUCAAAUGUCUUUAUUGGAUACUCUCCCACUCAGAUAGGAUACAAAUGUUACGAUCCUUCGAAAGGAAAAGUCUUCGUGAGUCUCGAUGUCACUUUUUUUGAAAACACUCCAUAUUUCCACCAAACCUCUCUUCAGGGGAGGAAUCAAAGUGAAGAUCGGUACCUAAACCUAGAUCUUCUUCCCUUGGAGCCUGUCUCAAUCAUACUUCCUAGUUCUUCUAUGCCAUUAAUAGGAGAUAGCUUAAAUUAAGGGAGAGAUGCAGAAAAGCAAAGAGACAAUGAGAUGCUUGUCUACUCAAGAAGACCAAAAGCAAAGCAGAAGGACUUCACACUUGAAGUACCAAGAGAGUCAGAACUGAUGGUAGCUCCAGAACCCUAUGACACCACAAAGGUAUCAUAAUCCUCAGAUAUUAAUCUUCCCAUUGCACUCAGAAAACAAACUUCAUCAUGUACUCUUCAUCCCAUUUCAAAGUUCAUGUCCUAUAAUGCUCUAUCAACUGAAUUUCGCAGUUUUACCUCUCAUCUUAACAACACCAAAAUUCCCAAGAACAUUUAGGAAGACUUAGAACUUUCAAAGUGGAGAGAGGCAGUGAUGGAUGAAAUGCGAGCAUUGGAAAAGAACAAAACUUGGGAGAUAGUAGAGCUGCCUCAAGGAAAAAAACCAGUUGGAUGCAAAUGGAUUUUCAACCUAACAUACAAAGCUGAUGGAACAAUAGAAAUGUAUAAGGCUCGAUUUGUUGCUAAGGGAUACACACAGACUCUGAUGCACCGACGCGGACACAAGCUCGAUUUUUUGAUGAAAUCUUUUAAAUAUAAGUAUUUUUUUUGUUAUUUACUAAUAACUUUGAGUAAAAAAUAUAUAAUAGCUAUAGUAAGAAAGGAAAAUGAUUAUUGUAGAGUGUUUGAAGAGUGUCGGUAUCGACAGGUGUCGGACAGGGACACGCUACCCUAGUUAGUGUCCAUGCUACAUAGCACAAACAUAUGGGAUUGAUUACACAUAGACAUUUGCACCUGUAGCAAAAUUGAAUACUAUUCGAGUACUUUUGUCAUUGGCAACGAAUUUAGAUUAACCCCUUCAGUAAAUGGAUAUUAAGAAUGCAUUUCUCAGUGUAGAAUUGGAAGAAGAGGUUUACAUGACACUACUUCCAGGUUUCUGCAAAGCAGGCGAAAAGAAUCAAACAUGUAAACUCAAGAAAUCAUUAUAUGGUCUCAAACAGUCAUAUAGGAAAUGGUUUGACAGAUUUGCAAAGGUACUGAAGAGGAAAGGAUACCAACAAGGACAGUCAGAUCACACUAUGUUCUUAAAGCAGUUUGAUGAUAGGGCGAAAACAAUCUUAAUUGUUUAUGUUGAUGAUAUAAUCUUGACAGGUGACAACAUAAUAGAGAUGGACAGACUAAAGAGUUUAGCAGCAAAAUUUGAAGUAAAAGAUAAGGGACAAAUGUUAUACUUCUUGGGAAUGGAAAUAGCAAGGUUACAUAGAGGUAUCAGUGUCUCACAAAAAAAUAUAUAUAUAUACUUGAUCUCCUUACAGAGAUUGAAAUGCUUGGAUGUAAACUAAGUGAUACACCUGUUGAUGUGGAAAAAAAGGUCAAGAAUGUUGGCAACUCUGUAGAUAUUGACAGAUAUCAAAGACUUGUGGGUAAACUAAUCUGUUUGUCACAUACUAGACCCGAUAUUGCAUUUGCAGUUAGUAUGGCAAGCCAACAUAUGCAUUCUCUGAAUGAAGCUCAUCCAGAAACAGCCUACAAGAUACUCAGAUAUCUCAAGGGAUCCUUCGGAAAAGGAUUAUUCUUCAAAAAAAAUGAUAAAAAGGGAAUAGAAAUCUUUAUAGAUGCAUACUGGGCAGGUUCAACAGAUGAUAGAAGGUUAACUAUUGGAUAUUGCACUUUUGUAUGGGGAAAUUUAGUAACUUGGAGAAGUAAGAAGCAAAAUGUUGUAGCUAGAAGUAGUGCUAAAGUUGAGUUUAAAGCAGUAGCACAAGAAGUAUGUGAGGGACUGUAGUUAAAGAAACUUCUGGAAGAGUUGCGCGUUACAUUAAAAGCUCCAGUUAAACUGUAUUGUGAUAACAAAGCUACAAUCAACAUUUCUCUGAACCCGAUUCAACAUGAUCAAACUAAACAUGUAGAGGUAGACAGACACUUUAUCAAAAAGAAGGUAGAUGAAGGAAAUAUUUGUAUGAUAUAUGUUCAUACACGGGAACGAACUGCAGACAUCUUCACUAAAGGUCUAUCUCGACAAAAAAUUGAUGAUUUCAUUCACAAGUUGGAUAUGAUCAACAUUUACGAUCCAACUUGAGGAGGAGUGUUGAAAUUCUAGAGAUAUGAUAAUAUCUUAUUUGCAUUGAUUAACUAUUGUAUUUAGGGAAAUUGUUAUUAUUGUAAUUAGGCAUGAUUCUUGGAGAUUAGGUAGGAUUUGAGAAUAUUUUUUAUUUCCUUAAUUUAGCCCCUCUUGAGUACUAUAAAAAAGGGCACUCAGCUGUAAUGUAAAAUAAGAGAAAAAAGAUAGUUUUUUCCUCUCUUCUCAAGUCUCUUAACAUACAGUUAUAAAUUAAGUUGGUAAGUUUUUUUAUGUUGUGGCAACCUGGUAGGGUUAAUUUUCACGUGAAACUAUAUUUGAAUACAAUCCAAAUUCCACCUUUUAUAGUUGUUAGUGAAUCUUCUUUUAGUGAGGUAAGUAUUAAUUAUAUAAUUUAUACCAAUUCAAGUACGUGACUAGUAUGAUUUGUUUUAUCAAAUUUCAAUUCUAUCCAAGUUUGGUAUACGUUUUCUUCCAUCACAAUUGUACUAUGACUUAACUACUAUUUUUUUUCCUAUAUACAGUGUGCAAUUGUCUAAUAAUUCUUCCCCAUGAAAUUUUACACUGCAGAUAGGAGAGAGAAAAUAGUUUUGAAAACUCAAGUCACGAUUUUAUUAACGCAGUCGAGAAAGUAGAAAAGAUAUUGGAAUUCUUUCAAAAAUUCAUUUUAUUUGAUGAGGUAAGAUACUUAUGUGCAAGUGGAUGUUUCCGUAUACUUUUAUGUUCAAUAAUUUAUGCAUUAAUUGUUAGUAGACUUCCUAGCGCAACCUAACGAAAUAUGAACUCUAUUGGGUUCUUAAUAACGAAAUGUGAAAUCCUUCUGGAAUUUAAAGUACUACUGAUUGAUGUGUCGCUUGGUCAUCGAUAUACUCCAUAAAAAUGUGGUAUGAAGAAGAGUGGGAAUGUCUCGAUGACGGCGUCAAGUACAAAAAAAGGCUUGAAAAUGAACGAGUUUUUGAAUUCCUGGCCGGUCUUAAUCGCGGCUUAGAUGACGUUCGAGGAUGAAUUUUGGGCCAAAAGCCACUGCCUUCCACACGAGAGGUGUUUGCCAAAGUGAGAAGGGAGGAAAGCUGACAAAAAGUAAUGAUGAAGGACGGAGCAACCGCUAUAGGAGACUUGGAGAUGUUGGCACUUCUGGGUAAAGGAAUUGGAGCUGCAUCGCCUCAUUAAUUUUGGCCGAAUGCUGGACUAUUCAAUUUGGACAAGCUGAAUAUUUUAUUGUUGGGCCAAUUGGUGUUGGGUCAAAUAUUGGGUAUUCUCAAAUUGGACAGAAUGGUAUCUCCAACUUUGGGCCUGGGUCCUCACAAUUUGGGCAAACAAUGUUAUCUCAAUUUGGGCGUACAAAAAGUGUUUGCCAAAGUGAGAAGGGAGGAAAGCUGACAAAAAGUAAUGAUGAAGGAUGGAGCAACCGCUAUAGGAGACUUGGAGAUGUUGGCACUUCUGGGUAAAGGAAUUGGAGCUGCGUCGCCUCAUUAAUUUUGGCCGAAUGCUGGACUAUUCAAUUUGGACAAGCUGAAUAUUUUAUUGUUGGGCCAAUUGGUGUUGGGUCAAAUAUUGGGUAUUCUCAAAUUGGACAGAAUGGUAUCUCCAACUUUGGGCCUAGGUCCUCACAAUUUGGGCAAACAAUGUUAUCUCAAUUUGGGCGUACAAAAAAUGUUAGGCUUACAGGUUUAUCAUCAAAAGGCACAACGAAUGGGUUGGACCAAAAACAACAAAAAGGACGACCCGAUGCGAAUACUGCGGUAAACGAGGACAUAAAGAAGACACAUGUUGGGAUUUACAUGGCAAACCCAUCAACUUGAAAUCAACACAAAAUAUUAAAAAUCGUGGCUAUCAAGUUUUGGUCAAUCAAACUAGAAAAUCCAAAGAGCAAAAAAAAUGGAGCAUUUAAUCCCAAGCAAUGAGAACAACUAUAUCAAAUCUUCUCCAACCUCAGACAUCAAGCUAGUCUUCUACAUACGGCUCUUCGAGCUCACUGGCUCACAAAGGUAGUUUCCUGAAAGCAUUAAAUGUCACAUCAAAUCAUAAGAACACCUUGGAUUAUUGAUUCAGGUGCUUCCAAUCCUACGAUGGAUGCUUAUCAUUUGUUUUGACCUUGUUCUAGACUUGCGACUUCUUUCUUAGACAACAUAAGGUACCGAAAGGAGUUAGGGUGUUUGAGCAUAUAUCAUCAAAUUGUAGUUGACUUGAAUAAUAAUGCCUGCAAAAAGUCGGCCCCAAAAAAUUUAAUCCUUGUUGCAGACCUUCAUAGUCAACCUAAAGGCAUGUUUAUGUGCUGUUUUUGAAAGAACUGUACAGCACAAUCUUUUUAUUCUUUAAAUUAUCCCAUACUCUAUAAUCCACCUUACCAAACAAGAUAUACAUUUUUCAUAUAAUAUUUGAAAAGUUCCCUCAUGUAGAAUGGUGAGUUACAGGAUUUGCAAUCAAUAUCAUUUAAGGAAGCUAGAUUUUCAUUUGAGAUCUCACGGAAAAUUCAUGUUCAUAAGUAGUUACGUAUGGAGCUGAGCUCUAAAAUGCAAUUAUAAUCACCCAAUAAUGGAGAGGUUUGAGAGUGUAUAUUAGUUCUUGGUACUUCUUGAUGCAAAAUAUGGUACUAAUCUGUUUUAAUGAAUCAUCUCUUAUGUUGAGAGCGUAGGUGGUCUACUUAAGAAAUGUGUGACUGGUCUUGACUUUUCCAAUUAAUGCAGUUCUCUUCACUGCAAUCUCUUUUGCAACCAUUCUAAAUAUCAUGGAGAGCAGGGCAUCAAUGCACCUAUAAGUUAACUAUUUGCCUUAGCUUGAAGUUAUUAUUUAAAUAAUUCUAAUCUUAUCAAUUUUCGUGGUAGUCUUCUUCAGAGAUGAUUGAGGGCUUAGGCAGUCUACUUAAGAAUUACAUGAUGGUUCUUGGUUUUUAGAAUAAUGCUUUUUCUUUCUUUCUUUCUUUCUUUCUUUCUUUUUUUUUUUUUUUUUUUUUUUUUUUUUUUUUUUUUUUUUUUUUUUUUUUUUUCUUUUUUUUUUUUUUUUUUUUUUUUUUUAAAAUUCAUUAUUCUCGUUUCCUUUUGUAUCUUUUCCUUAUCUCCUCUUCUUGGUUCUUGCUAUACCAACAGCCUUCUCUCUUUAUUCUUCUUCAUGUUUUCUUCUUCCUCUAAUUUUGGUUAGUCAGUGGAUGGUCUGCCACUGUGAGAAAAGAUGACUGACAGGAGAGAGAGUGUGAUCACAGGGAGGAAGAUAAUUGUGAUUAGACUAUCAGCGACUUUUAUCAGAUUAGAUUAGGUAUUUGAGUGGCUUCUUUUAUCAAUCUUACUUAAAAUGUUCUCACUUUUAUAAGUACCAUAAUACUAUAAAAAUAUGGAACUAUUUUUUUAUACAGGAGGGAGAGAGUGAUCACGGGGAGGAAGAUAAUUGUGAUUAGACUAUCAGAGACUUUUAUCAGAUUCGAUUAGGUAUUUGAGUGGCUUCUUUUAUCAGUCUUACUUAAAAAUAUUCUCACUUUUAUAAGUACCAUUAUACUAUAAAAAUAUGGUACUAUUUUUUUAUGCAGGAGGGAGAGAGUGAUCACGGGGAGGAAGAUAGUGUGAUUAGACUAUCAGAGACUUUUAUCAGAUUAGAUUAGGUAUUUGAGUAGCUUCUUUUAUCAGUCUUACUUAAAAUAUUUUGUAAGUACCAUUAUACUAUAAAAAUAUGGAACUAUUUUUAUACAAGGAAAUGCAACUUCUUGUUUUUACCAUAUAUGUUAAAAAAGUACACUUCUAAACUAGAUUGAACUACAUAGAAACUGAGACAAACGUAACUGGAGUUAUUAUUUUUAGGGUCAGGACAUGAGGGAUAGAUGGUUGAUUUUACUUAAGUUCUUCCUAUAAAGCUGAAAGACCCUUGAAAUUAAGCAAAGAAACGACCCCAAGCAUGCCUAUUCCAUUUGUAUUAUACAGGGAGCAACUUUCUAGGUUUUCUUUAAUGUAAUUACUGCUGCUGGGAUAGGAAUUUUUGGUCUCCUACACAAUAGUGUAGUGGAUGGUUGGCAUUGUCCCUUACCCAUUUAUUAAUAGCAGUUUUCUAGCUUAUAUUACUUUCGGGUUAAUGUAAUAUCUCAAGACCACAAAUGAUUAACUAUCUGCUUGUUUGAUGUUAUCACUCUGGAAAGUUAUUGGACAAGAACUCCCACAGGACUUUUAACUGAUGUCCAAUAAACUCAAAAAUUUACUGCUGCUGGUGCCUACUACUUGUAUGAGAGUUCACGUGCUUCUUUAAAUGUGUUAUGAAGUACCUAUACCAUUACGUAUUUUUACUUUCUUUUCUUUCUCUUGCUUAAACGAUCUUGUUUUUUCUUUACUGGUAGUAUGCUUUUCUAGGGAAUUUCUCAUACUUGGUUAUCUAGUGAAAGUUUAAUCCCAGAAAUAAUCAUGUCUUCCAUAGAUAUUUCCAGUCUUCAUGCAAUUUAAUGCUCUUGGAGUCAUUUACAUGUCAAUCAAUACUUAUUCAACUUUUCGCGUGAUUGCUAUUACUUGUAUUUAGUCAUUCUUAUAAUUCUUCUUUGAAACAAUACACCAAUUAAAUCUAUAAUUGUCUGCUUCCUUUGUGAUGCUGACAUUACACUUUUGGAUCUUGAGCUCUUGAGUUCCUGUUAAUUGGUUCUCCUAGCUUGUCGUCAUAGAGCCACUCAAAUCCUACUUGCAUUUGUGCGAGUUUCACUUCUAACAAUAUCUAUAACCUAGGUUUAUUUUUUUUUAUUUUUUUAUUUUUUCAAAAAAAAAAAAAAAAUUUAUUUUUUGCAUUUCACUCAAAUCAGUUCUAUUUUUUGCAUUACCUGUUCCAUUAAUGUUCUUCAACAAAGUUGUCACAACUCAGCAUUGGAGAUGAGAAAUUUUGAGUGACUUAUUGAUUGCCUGGACAGGUUGUACCAGGUUUCAUUGAAUUCUUGACCUUUAUAAUUCGUCUCAUCUGCAUCUUCUGCUAAACAACUUGGAGGAGUUUUCAUGAAAUCUGUUCUUCUCGUCUUAUUACUUGAUCCUUAUUCUUAUCAUAUCAUUUUUAAUAUGAGCAAACAUCCAUCUUAUAAUUCUCAUUUUAGAUAGGUUCAUCUUAUGGAUAUGUCGUCCUAUGCAACACUCAGUCCUAUAUAAAGCAUAAAAGGUAUGAUCAUUGUUCUAUAGAGCUGACAUUUUAAGAUUACAGGAAUUUUCUUAUCGAGCAAUCACUCUAGUACUUCUCCAUUUCAUCCAACCUGCUCUAAUCUUAUGCGUUAUAUAUAACCUUGAAUUGCUCCUUCUAACAUUCUUCAUUCAUUUAAUUGAUUUUUUUAACCAUCCUUGUAGUUUCAUCUUUACAACUUCUUCAGCACUAUUUGGAGGAGAAUAAAUUGUAGUGAGAUAGAUCAAAUAUUUACAUCAGUCAUCUAGCAGGCAAUUCGAGACCUUUAAUUCUAUCAUACUGAUCCUAAGAUCAUACUUGGUUGUUACAUACUUCCCCUGGCUCCAUGAAGCAUCAUAGGCAGUCCCAUCUUACUCGCACAUCUUGUGUGGUCUACAAGACCAUCCUAAGUCAAUGGUAAGGAAUCAGUCUUUUCUUUGCAAGGUGCUUUCAAUAUUAUUUCAUCAGGGCAUCAUAAAGAAGAUUCUGUGCCCUAGAAAUUAAUUCUUUAGGCCUUCGGAAGAAAAAUCAGGGUACUUAAAAGCAUCAUAAAUUAUUACACUAUGCGAUAAGUCAGUAAUACUGCAGAAUGUAAAACUUGAGUUAAUCUGUGUUAUGUGUAUACCUUUAUUUGUCUUUGUUCUUCUUUUUCAGUAACCAAGAUUUUUUGUGAUAUUUGCAGAAAGGACUGUUCACAUAUUCAAGCUUCAUUUGAAGAUGGUCUAUUGCAUCAAUAUCUGUGAACUAUUAUAAAGUUCUAUGGGAUAGAUAACGGAAAGCAAAAUUUUCUCAUCCUGUAAGAGGAUGAGACUCUAAACAUUAUGUAAAAUAUAAACUGUUAUUGUGCCUUCAGGCUUAGUGUUGGUAUGUUUGAAUCUUUUGUUUCAAGUUGUUUGAUUUAGAUUCUAGGUACUUCCAUGUCUAGAAGCAUGUUAUCUCCUUCGAUUGCACAGAAAUUCUUUUGUUUUCUAUGAAAUUUAUAUAGAGAAAAAUGCAACGAAAGACAUUUUCCAUACAUCCAUCUUUAUUUCAAGGUAAAACACACUGGGAGUUGGG